ACGGGUGAGUAACACGUGAGUAACCUGCCCUUGACUCUGGGAUAAGCGCUGGAAACGGCGUCUAAUACCGGAUACGACCUGCCCCGGCAUCGGGUGCGGGUGGAAAGUUUUUCGGUCAAGGAUGGACUCGCGGCCUAUCAGCUUGUUGGUGAGGUAAUGGCUCACCAAGGCGACGACGGGUAGCCGGCCUGAGAGGGUGACCGGCCACACUGGGACUGAGACACGGCCCAGACUCCUACGGGAGGCAGCAGUGGGGAAUAUUGCACAAUGGGCGAAAGCCUGAUGCAGCAACGCCGCGUGGGGGAUGACGGCCUUCGGGUUGUAAACCUCUUUUAGUAGGGAAGAAGGGCUUCGGCUUGACGGUACCUGCAGAAAAAGCACCGGCUAACUACGUGCCAGCAGCCGCGGUAAUACGUAGGGUGCAAGCGUUGUCCGGAAUUAUUGGGCGUAAAGAGCUCGUAGGCGGUUUGUCGCGUCUGCUGUGAAAACCCGAGGCUCAACCUCGGGCCUGCAGUGGGUACGGGCAGACUAGAGUGCGGUAGGGGAGAAUGGAAUUCCUGGUGUAGCGGUGGAAUGCGCAGAUAUCAGGAGGAACACCGAUGGCGAAGGCAGUUCUCUGGGCCGUUACUGACGCUGAGGAGCGAAAGCGUGGGGAGCGAACAGGAUUAGAUACCCUGGUAGUCCACGCCGUAAACGUUGGGAACUAGAUGUGGGGACCUUUCCACGGUCUCCGUGUCGCAGCUAACGCAUUAAGUUCCCCGCCUGGGGAGUACGGCCGCAAGGCUAAAACUCAAAGGAAUUGACGGGGGCCCGCACAAGCGGCGGAGCAUGCGGAUUAAUUCGAUGCAACGCGAAGAACCUUACCAAGGCUUGACAUAUACCGGAAACGUCCAGAAAUGGUCGCCCCGCAAGGUCGGUAUACAGGUGGUGCAUGGUUGUCGUCAGCUCGUGUCGUGAGAUGUUGGGUUAAGUCCCGCAACGAGCGCAACCCUCGUUCUAUGUUGCCAGCACGUUAUGGUGGGAACUCAUAGGAGACUGCCGGGGUCAACUCGGAGGAAGGUGGGGAUGACGUCAAAUCAUCAUGCCCCUUAUGUCUUGGGCUUCACGCAUGCUACAAUGGCCGGUACAAAGGGCUGCGAUACCGUAAGGUGGAGCGAAUCCCAAAAAGCCGGUCUCAGUUCGGAUUGAGGUCUGCAACUCGACCUCAUGAAGUCGGAGUCGCUAGUAAUCGCAGAUCAGCAACGCUGCGGUGAAUACGUUCCCGGGCCUUGUACACACCGCCCGUCAAGUCAUGAAAGUCGGUAACACCCGAAGCC
rnacentral:rRNA from 1 species